GUCAAUCUUUCCCACUCAGAAAAAUUACAGAAACUACCAAGUUUCACUCUCUCUCUUCAAUCUCCACUUCAGAGCAAAAUUCUUUCCUUCUUUUAGGAAAUGGGUGGCUAAUUCUAGAGUUCUGUGGAGCCUGUAGCUCCCUUCCUUCCUUGGAUCUUUGGGGCCUGGUGUCCUGAUCCUUGGCAAGGGUUGGAAGUGGGGCAGGAAGAGGUUUAGGGACUAAUGGUAGGGUAUUAGAUUCUUCUUAUUCCAGUUCCAAAUCUAUGCUGGACCUAUAUUGUUCAGGAGGCGAGCAACUACAAGGGGAUGGGGAAAUGGUACCGGAUCUUGGGGUUGGGGGUAGCAUCAGUGUUUUCCCUAUGGUUAAUACCCUUGACAUUCCAGGAUUAUCCCCAAGGCUCUUCUAAAGUCUGCAAUCUCCGCAGAAGUUCCGAAAGAUGCUUUCAGUGUGCCCGCCGGUUGAGUACCCCUCCUUAAUUUGAUCAUCGCUUCGAAUUGACCUUGGAUCCCCUUCUGGAACCAGACAGCAAACUCCCCACUGAUAUACUGGUUUGGUGGAUGAGGCAUAAGAAUUUCACCAAGUUCCAUCUGGCCAGGACGGAAUUGUUUAGCGUGAUCUCCAGUCCCUAGCCAGAACAGAGAAGACCCUGCUACAAGACCUGUGCUAUGUAUGAAUCAGGCCCCUGGCCAGGAUUUUGAGAAGGACACAGGGACUGGAUCUCACAUCUGACGUACCCAGAGAGUGCUCAAGACCUGUUCCCAGAGAUUCAUUUGCUGCUGGUGCCAUUUGAAUCAGUGGAUAUGGCGUGGGUUGCUACGUCAGUGGUGGAGGGAUCCCCUCACACCCAAUGGUCUUGGUGGACAUCCCCAGGUUCCUCAACUACAUUCAGGAGAACUGGCAAAAAUAGUAUGGUCAUUUCUGUUCCAAUGAAUGCAUUGCCAUCUUCUAUGCUUUGCAUACAUGAGAUCAGGUCUCCUUCUUUGGAUUCGGGGCAGGCGUCAACGAGUACUGGCACCAUUACUGGAAAGAGAAAAGGUUCAUCCUCCAGAGAGAAAAGAUCCCCAACAAAAUGUUUGGGGCUAAAAUUAUCCGCCCACUUGAACUCAAAGGGAGAGCUAGAAACUGUUGUGACUUGGCCUUCACACCUUGACAAAUCAUCUGGAAAAAGUUAUGUACUAAAAGGGACUGUGUGGAAGAGGCCCUGACAGAGCCAAUAGCUCUGAGGCCUGUAGCAGGGGCUGUACCAUGAGAUGGGGAUAGAAAAUACCUAGGGAGAACUCAAUAGCAGGGUCAAUAUUUCUAAGUCAUUUGAAUAAACAUCCCACUAGGACAAA